UGGCUCAGGACGAACGCUGGCGGCGUGCUUAACACAUGCAAGUCGAGCGGUAAGGCCCUUCGGGGUACACGAGCGGCGAACGGGUGAGUAACACGUGAGCAAUCUGCCCUUCACUUCGGGAUAACCCCCGGAAACGGGAGCUAAUACCGGAUACGACCACUUCAGGCAUCUGAUGGUGGUGGAAAGUUCUGGCGGUGGAGGAUGAGCUCGCGGCCUAUCAGCUUGUUGGUGGGGUAGUGGCCCACCAAGGCUUCGACGGGUAGCCGGCCUGAGAGGGUGACCGGCCACACUGGGACUGAGACACGGCCCAGACUCCUACGGGAGGCAGCAGUGGGGAAUAUUGGACAAUGGGCGAAAGCCUGAUCCAGCAACGCCGCGUGAGGGAUGACGGCUUCGGGUUGUAAACUUCAGCGCAGACGAAGUCGAAAGUGACGGGUAUGCGCAGAAGAAGCACCGGCCAACUACAGUC
rnacentral:rRNA from 1 species